AUUAGAGUUUGAUCCUGGCUCAGAACGAACGCUGGCGGCAGGCCUAACACAUGCAAGUCGAGCGCCCCGCAAGGGGAGCGGCGGACGGGUGAGUAACACGUGGGAACGUACCCUUUGCUACGGAAUAGUCUCGGGAAACUGGGGGUAAUACCGUAUGUGCCCUUCGGGGGAAAGAUUUAUCGGCAAAGGAUCGGCCCGCGUUGGAUUAGGUAGUUGGUGGGGUAAUGGCCUACCAAGCCGACGAUCCAUAGCUGGUUUGAGAGGAUGAUCAGCAACACUGGGACUGAGACACGGCCCAGACUCCUACGGGAGGCAGCAGUGGGGAAUCUUAGACAAUGGGCGCAAGCCUGAUCUAGCCAUGCCGCAUGAGCGAUGAAGGCCUUAGGGUUGUAAAGCUCUUUCAGUGGGGAAGAUAAUGACUGUACCCACAGAAGAAGCCCCGGCUAACUCCGUGCCAGCAGCCGCGGUAAUAAU
rnacentral:rRNA from 1 species